GUCCGUCCUGAAAGGGGAAUCCCUUAUCCUGGCACACAGGGGAAGCGUUGAGACCCGUGAGCAAGUGUGCAACCUGUCGAGCGAGGCGAUGGCCGUGAUGGACGACACCGUGAACCUGGUGGUGCAAACGCAGCAGGGCGGCAGCGGCGACCGCGCCGUCUACAUGGCCAGCGGCAUCUCGCUCUGGUACUCGCGCGUCGAUGUCGCCCAGAUGCGGCGCAAAGCCCGCUCUACGUCAAGCCGAGGAUAAUGCUCACCUACGACAAGAGCCUCUACGCGUACUCGAAGUCCCUCUCCGUCGUCGUUACGGUGUACCAAAAGAACCCGUUCCACUGCGCCAUGACCAUGGGCCCGAUCACUACAGACUUGGUGAGGCCGUACAUCAGGGACGAGGCGACCGGCAUGCGCAUACGCGGCACAUCCGACAGAAGGCGUACCCUGAAGGUGGCGCUCCAG
rnacentral:lncRNA from 1 species